UCCCUGGAGGACUAGUGGUUAGGCCAAGACGCUCUCACCACCGCAGCCCGCGUUCAAUUCCCAGCCCGGGAC